rnacentral:pre_miRNA from 1 species
UUCCUGUGACGGGCGAGCUUUUGGCCCGGGUUAUACCUGAUGCUCACGUAUAAGACGAGCAAAAAGCUUGUUCGUCAGAGGA